UAUUUUAGUUUUAUUUAUUAAUGGUUAUAAUUUAAGACUUUAUUUCAAAGAGAUUUCUUUAUUUUGGGUUAUUAAAAUUUCUGUCAAAAGACAAAUUCUCAAAAAAAUUCACAAAAAUAUUUUAUCUUAAUGGCAUUUAUAAUUUGUAACCAGAGGCUCAAGUCAAAGGAAUUCAAGGAGAUUCAGUACUACUAUCUUCUGAUUAACAUGCUUUCUUUUAAAGAUUUAUUCAAAAUGUAUGGAUACAUGGAAUAGUGGAAAUGUGUUAAUUAUGCCAGUAAAAUAUUUUAGUGGAUAAUGAUUUAAUUGAAGAUUUUUUUUUUUAAUAUAUAAGUUAUUUUUAUAUGGUUUCCUGAAAUAUUCUUAAGCAAUUUUCAUAGUUUAUUUUAUCAAUAAAUUAAGUUAUAAAUUAUUUAAUUUAAUAUUUAUUUCAAACAAUUUCUAUGCACAUUAUUUAAAUAUCCUAAAUUACUUUAGGCAUGUAUGCCAUUGGUUGUUUUCACAGAGCUUAUACCCUAUUAUUUCAUCCAGAGUUGGUACAAUAUUAGUUGACUGGUCAAAAUUUGAUUAAUUGACAAAAGAAAUUUUGACUAUUCAUAAUAAAAUGUAUUUAAAUUUUAAAUUUAUUAUACAGCACGGUUUUAUUAUAUAUCUAGUUAUUAUUUUAUAAAAUGUUUUGUUUUACUCUUUUCCAAUGUUAAAAACAUUGGAAACAUGUUAAAAUGUUGGAAGUUAAGUAAGUUUAACAUUUAAAUUAACAUAUAACUUUAUAAGUAACUUUGAUUUGAUUUUUUAAUAAGUUAAGUUAGUGUUCAGUAAUUGUAGUUGAUAGACUUUAGUAUAAUAGUACGAAAAAAAUGAAAUUUUUAUGAGAAAUUUAAAGUUAUGAAAAAAAAUUACAAAUUAUACACAGCCUGAAGGUAUUGACUGUCUAUAUUUGGAACAGCUAUAAUAGAAUUAUAUAAUAAUAAAGUUUUUUAAUAAUAUUAUAAAAUGUAAAAAUUGAUUUCCUUAUAGUUUUUAAGAGUACUAUAAAUAAAAACUUAAAAGUCAGGGCUUAUAAAAUCAUUUGUAUUGUACCAUAUUUUGAAUUUAUUGUUAUAAAUUAUAAAAUGUUUAGUUUUCAACUAUUAGUGAGUAAAAUUUCUUUGUACAAAAAUAUUUUUAACUAAAUAAAUUAAAAAAACGGUAGCACAGUUGGGUUGUGGUAUAAUUGGUACAAUUAUAGAUGAUAACUGACAGUGAUUAAAAUCACUAUCAUAAGAAAUGCUUUGAUGCAAAUCUGUAACAUUUAAUUUUAAGAAAUUGAGAAAAUCGGUGGCCAUUUUCACAUAGAAGACAAGUUGUUUGGACAAAUUUUAUUUUUUACUUACAAUACUUAACAUAUGCUUUAAUUUAAUAUAUAUAUAAAGGACACUGUAUUUCCGGAACAUUUUAGAUUCAGUUUAAAGUGUUCUACUUUUUAUACUUAUUUUUCAAGUUUUGAACGUCCUCUGGUGAUAUUGUCCGAUUAAAAAAAAAAGUA